UCGAAGGUCGAGGGUACGUGUUUCAUUACACUGGUGUCAGAAGUGGUCGGACCUUGCAUCCACGACAGUGCGUGUGCUUGUCCGGUGAGCGCGUAAGACGUAGAACCGCAAGCUAGCGCGAGGACGCGCUCUUUGAAAAGGAGGGGGUAGUGUAACGACCCUGGAAAUCGUGUCUGCGGCACGAGCAUGCUUUUACUGCACAGUCAAUAGCGCGCCGGACCUCGGGCUCGAGGGUUCGAGACCUGCUCCCUGUUGUUUCAUUACAAUACAUAGCCUAGGUAAUUAUCUGAGAUAGCUAGGUAACAAUAUUUACUAAUUAGCUACUACUUUACCCAAACAGGAAAUGGCUUCAAUAAUCUUCGCAGAGAGAUAAAAUGCCACCCUCCAUACACCUGUGCUAAAGACGCGCCAGCGGUUGAUAUCUGCUCCAGGUAGUCUGCCCUAUACCUACUCACAAUUGUCAAUCAUUGACCUGUUUGUCUAGCUUACUAGAGUUCUCUGUGAUGCUUCAUAACCUACAUUGGUUGAGUUAAUUCCAUUGAGAACUCGCAUGCACUACCAUCCUCUUGAAGACUCCGCUGACAGGAAAAAAGUUGCAUGUUCCUUUAGUCUGGUCGUAAGGCUGUGGGGGUAGUGAACAAGAUCACCUCAACUCCAACUGUAAAUGGACAAAAUAAACUCCUUGAGACACAGGACUGGUAUAUCUUCCACAAAUGCCAUGUUUGCCUGAAGAGGACUUUGAAGUGCUCGAGACAUACACACGUGUGUCUCCAUUGAAGAACCUGCAUAGGAUUUGGGGUUAAAUUCCAUUGUGAGAUUGUCAGUAUAUUGCCAGUCAUAUUUCAAUUUCUCUCCUUUUUUUCUGACAAUUGCACUACGGAAUUGGAUGCCUUCCUUGGAACUAUCAACGAGCUGACCAUUGACCUGCCCCCAGAGAUGAAUGUAUGAGUCUAUAGCUUUGUACAGUUGAAAACUUAAUCUGUAUUAAAAAAAUGUAUGAAUAAAGUUUUAGCCUGAAUAGUUUUCUA